rnacentral:rRNA from 1 species
UACAGAGGGGGCAAGCGUUGUUCGGAAUUACUGGGCGUAAAGGGCUCGUAGGCGGCCAACUAAGUCAGACGUGAAAUCCCUCAGCUUAACUGGGGAACUGCGUCUGAUACUGGAUGGCUUGGAUUCGGGAGAGGAAUGCGGAAUUCCAGGUGUGGCGGUGAAAUGCGUAGAUAUCUGGAGGAACACCGGUGGCGAAGGCGGCAUUCUGGGACCGGCAUUGACGCUGAGGCGCGAAAGCCAGGGGAGCAAACGGG